rnacentral:rRNA from 1 species
AACGAACGCUGGCGGCAUGCCUAACACAUGCAAGUCGAACGAGACCUUCGGGUCUAGUGGCGCACGGGUGCGUAACGCGUGGGAACCUGCCCUUAGGUUCGGAAUAACUCCCCGAAAGGGGUGCUAAUACCGGAUAAUGUCUUCGGACCAAAGAUUUAUCGCCUUUGGAUGGGCCCGCGUUGGAUUAGCUAGUUGGUAGGGUAAAAGCCUACCAAGGCGACGAUCCAUAGCUGGUCUGAGAGGAUGAUCAGCCACACUGGGACUGAGACACGGCCCAGACUCAUACGGGAGGAAGAAGGGGGGAAUAAGGAACAAAGGGCGAAUGAAUGAGGUAUCAAGGCCGGGAGAGGAAGGAGGGAGAGAGGGAAGUAAAGCGCGUGUAAAAGGGAUGAAAAUGACAGUACCGGGAGAAAAAGCGCCGGCUAACGCCGUG